rnacentral:rRNA from 1 species
CUACGGGGGGCAGCAGUCGAGAAUCUUCCGCAAUGGACGAAAGUCUGACGGAGCGACGCCGCGUGCGGGAUGAAGGCCUUCGGGUUGUAAACCGCUGUCAGUGGGGAGGAAAUGCAUCAGGGUUCUCCCUGGUGUUUGACCGAUCCGCAGAGGAAGCGCAGGCUAAGUUCGUGCCAGCAGCCGCGGUAACACGAACUGCGCGAACGUUAUUCGGAAUCACUGGGCUUAAAGAGUUCGUAGGCGGCCUUUCAAGUCGGGUGUGAAAUCCCUCGGCUCAACCGAGGAAUUGCGCCUGAUACUGUUGGGCUUGAGUGGGAUAGGGGUGAGCGGAACUGAUGGUGGAGCGGUGAAAUGCGUUGAUAUCAUCAGGAACACCGGUGGCGAAGGCGGCUCACUGGAUCUCUUCUGACGCUGAGGAACGAAAGCUAGGGGAGCGAACGGGAUUAGAUACCCCCGUAGUC